UGAUAACUUAUCGUUUACCGUUAGAGAUGGUUCAGGAAAAGAAGUAUGUAUAUUCGAAAAAGAUGAGCUUUCAAAUUCAUUUACAAUGAAAACAAAGGACAAAGAAAUAGGAAAAAUUCAGGAUACGUCCCAAUACUUUACAGAAGAAAAUACAGAUGCAAAAGAAUUUAUCAAGGAAAACAGAAGUGGAAUCACAAAUGAGUUCAAGCUGACUUUUUCAGAAAUACUGUCAGCUUCAGAAAAGGUUUUGAUUCUAGCUGGUUCUUUCCUUGCCGACAUUUUCUGUAUCGAUAAUGGACUGUUAAGAGAAAAGUAUUCAAACCAGCAGACUGGAG